CAGUCGCCGCGGUAAUACGAAGGGGGCUAGCGUUGUUCGGAAUUACUGGGCGUAAAGCGCACGUAGGCGGCUUUGUAAGUCAGAGGUGAAAGCCUAGAGCUCAACUCCAGAACUGCCUUUGAUACUGGCGAUCUUGAGUAUGGGAGAGGUGUGUGGAACCCCGAGUGUAGAGGUGAAAUUCGUAGAUAUUCGGAAGAACACCAGUGGCGAAGGCGACACACUGGCCCAUUACUGACGCUGAGGCUCGAAAGCGUGGGGAGCAAACAGGAUUAGAUACCCGUGUAGUCCCUGUCUCUUAUAC
rnacentral:rRNA from 1 species